UACAUGGGGUGCAAACGUUGCUCGGAAUCAUUGGGCGUAAAGCGCGCGUAGGCGGUUAUUUAAGUUGGAUGUGAAAGCCCUCGGCUUAACCGAGGAAGUGCAUCCAAAACUGAGUAGCUAGAGUACGAAAGAGGGUCGCGGAAUUCCCGGUGUAGAGGUGAAAUUCGUAGAUAUCGGGAGGAACACCGGUGGCGAAGGCGGCGACCUGGGUCGAGACUGACGCUGAGGCGCGAAAGCGUGGGGAGCAAACAGG
rnacentral:rRNA from 1 species